GCACAUGUGGCGGAACUGGCAGACGCGCUAGACUUAGGAUCUAGUUCUUUAUGAGUGAAGGUUCAAGUCCUUUCAUGUGCACCA
rnacentral:tRNA from 2 species